CAUCCACAGAAAGAUGCCCCACAGAUGUUGCAUUUUUAAAGAUGUACUCUUGUCCUGGCUUCCACUGUGUGGAAUUAGUGUCUGCUAUGAGAUCAGCUGGCAUGUUACUGCAUGGUGGCAGGAACCUCUAAGAAGCCAUAGGAAUCCUGACUUCCCUUUCAUGAGAGACAAAUCCAGAAGCAUCUCCAGUUUCUUCUUUCCCCAUUUCUGGGUAUUUCCUUCAGUGGUAAUUUGAAAAACAGCGAUGAAAGGAGAAGAUUGUCUGGGAGAAAGAGGCUGAGUACUGCUGUGUGAAGGAAUCCUGCCUCUACUAAAAUAUUUCUGACACUUCCUGACACCCUAAAUUCUCCAGGAGAGAGAAGGAAAAAAGAAGUACUCUUUUCUUAUCA